AAGUCGUAACAAGGUAACCGUAGGUGAACCUGCGGUUGGAUCAUUAAAAAUAACAAUUUGCCACCCAUUGUAUGGCGCUGAGUUCGGCUUGUCUGCGGCAACGAAGGUUGCCAAAGCAUCUAGGACCGGCCACCAAAACAAUGGGAAUUUGGCCCCACAUCUUGUGCACUGUACCGUCUUUGGUGGUGGGAUGGGCAUCGCAGUAUGCUUUGUCUCAUCUGUCAGCUUGGAUCGCAAGGUCCAGGCCGUGGACAAGCCACCGCAUGUAUUCAAACCUCUUGUUUUUCUUUUGUCUGACAUUUCAACUUGCAUUAAUAUACAAACAACUUUUGGCAACGGAUCUCUUGGUUCUC
rnacentral:misc_RNA from 1 species